AUGCUCAGAGCUGUAGACUGGGAGUGUGCUUCCCUGGGUGGCAAACCGGGAGCCGCUGCACGUUCCAAAUAUAGCCCGGCUGAUGUCUUUUCGAUCGGAGAGACGAAUUUUUCUCUGCUUCGACUUUUUAUGAACUGGGUGCGUCACUAAGCGCUGGGACCCGUGGCACUGCGAGAUAGGAAGCGGUGCGCGAGGAGCCGCACCAGGUCCCCCGAGAGCAAGCGUUCGUCUGCGAGGCAGUCGUAGUGACUUGGGAGACCAUAGCGCAACCUUUGGUAGAGACGUACGCGCGGGGAUCGAAGCUGUUUGUAAACUGCAGUUGCCUGCGAGGAAAGACGCGUACAGAGCGCUGAAUGCUUUGACUUGACUCUUAUCGUCAACUGGUUGUCGUUUCUCGGAAGCUCGGUACCUAUGGACUCCAGCGCUCAGGUGCCUUUCCUGCACUUGAAGAUUUAUCGAUAACUUGCAGUGUCAAUUGCGUAGUGCGCCAAGUUAGACCAGCUGGCACCCGUCUUCGGGGUACUCAAGUGCUCUGCUGCCGCGUUGGCGCUGUUCGCAUGACGCUGGGCAGAGCACCAGCUGCCGUGGCAGGUACUGACACGACGCUCACAGGCGCACCUGGAACAGCUGCGCACGAGCUCUAGUCUGCGUAGCAAUUAAGCGUUGCGCGAUGUUCGUUGCACCUCGAAAGCAGCUCGCAAAGGCGUCCCGACGACGUCUCACAGAACGGCCGCGUUGCGUUGACGGCGCACCGUCGUUGGGCCUGGAGCCCAGCGCCGCCCCUGUUUUGAACAAGCUGUUGGACCUUGUGAUCACUGGAGAAACAAUGCCUUCAAAGACCCGAUUUUCUGUUUCGCUGCUCUCAUAAAUCCUGGCUCAGCGAAUAAAGUAGAGCUUGGAUUGAGCAAGUAGCGUGCGUGCAGCGUGCAAGUGUGCGGUGUUUUGCGACUCUGAUUUUGAGCCGCGAUACCAGUAGACCAGAUGAACACUGACGCACAUAUCUGGUACAUAACGGAUCGAGUAUGUUGCUGGAGCUCUAAUGAUGGACGUGGAUGCGUUGUCGAAGCCUUAGCGUUCCGGGUCGAAACGUUGAAGUACUGAGCUGCAGUCAGAUUCGUACAUGCUUGGAGCGGUAUCUGGGACGCGCGAUCGCUCGUGCGAACGCUGCUCUCAGAGAAGCCUUGAAUGCACCCUGGAUGCAAGUCAACGCAUGCUUGUGGACCAUGAGGGCACGUUUAUGGAAGAGCACUUGUUGCCGCUCUGAGAGCAGCAGAAGGAACACUACAUGCGACAUGGGAGAGUCAGAGCAACGGAUGCCGCUGCCCGCGCGAUUCCAUCUCGCCGAUGCGCUCUAGAGUCGGUUUGCUGCAUCGUUGCUUCUUGGCAGCGAACUGCUAAUGCAUUCGGUAGAGCAAUGAUUUCUGACGGCAGAGGCCCUUUAUGCUUACAGCUUUCAGUAUUGGGCGUUUAGUCAGAAACGAUAUUUGUUAAAAGGUUGGAAUGCAUGUGCUCAGGACACUGCUUCAAAGACAAAUACGGAGAAAUACGCAGCGCCCUCGAGCGCCGCUGGACUUGGUCGAAAUUUUUGACCUUGGAAGCGUCGGUAAAAGCUACGC
rnacentral:misc_RNA from 1 species